CAAUAGCGUAUAUUAAAGUUGUUGCAGUUAAAAAGCUCGUAGUUGGAUUUCUGGUCGGAAGCUCCUGUCCUCUGAUGAGCGUACAAGUGCGUCCUACCAUCCUUCUGUUAACCUUUAAGGCUUUCGCGGCUUUCUAGGGGCUCAGAUAUUUUACCUUGAGAAAAUUAGAGUGUUUCAGGCAGGCUAGCGCCGGAAUACAUUAGCAUGGAAUAAUGGAAUAGGACUUUUGCCUCUUCUGUUGGUCAUGAGGCUCGAGUAAUGAUUAAUAGGGAUAGUUGGGGGCAUUAGUACUUAACUGUCAGAGGUGAAAUUCUCGGAUUUGUUAAAGGCUAACUUAUGCGAAAGCAUUUGCCAAGGAUGUUUUCAUUAA
rnacentral:rRNA from 1 species